UACUGAGGAUCCGAGCGUUAUCCGGAUUUAUUGGGUUUAAAGGGUGCGCAGGCGGGAUGUUAAGUCGGCGGUGAAAUUUUGCAGCUCAACUGUAAAAGUGCCUUCGAUACUGGCUUCCUUGAGUGUGGAUGAAGUAGGCGGAAUUUGUGGUGUAGCGGUGAAAUGCUUAGAUAUCACACAGAAUAUCGAUUGCGAAGGCAGCUCACAAAGCCAAGAUUGACGCUGAGGCACGAAAGUGUGGGGAUCAAACAGGAUUA
rnacentral:rRNA from 1 species